rnacentral:misc_RNA from 1 species
AAGUCGUAACAAGGUUUCCGUAGGUGAACCUGCGGAAGGAUCAUUAUCCAUCCAAAACCAGGUGCGGUUGCGGCCUCCAGGUGAAAACCUGGGUGGUUUCGCGCCGCAUUCCUGCACCCUUUCUUUACGAGCACCUUUGUUCUCCUUCGGCGGGGCAACCUGCCGCUGGAACUUAAUAAAACCUUUUUUGCAUCUAGCAUUACCUGUUCUGAUACAAAUAAUCGUUACAACUUUCAACAAUGGAUCUCUUGGCUCUG